rnacentral:lncRNA from 1 species
AUCAGUGCAUUUUAAUGCAUCUUCUUCUACUAUUGCACUUAGGCAAAUCUAUAAUUUAUUAUAUUAUUUUUACUAUUUUAGUGUGUUUUAAUAUUUAAGUUUUUUUUUGCCUUUAUUUUAUUUUCAGCAUAAAUAGUUAUUUGAUACCUUAUCACUAUGCAGAUCAUAACUUGGGUUAUAGAAGUCGGAUUGACGCAUUCUAAUAUGCGUUGGAAAGAUAAGAGAAAGAACUACAAGUUUCA